GCCCAGACUCCUACGGGAGGCAGCAGUGGGGAAUAUUGCACAAUGGGGGGAACCCUGAUGCAGCAACGCCGCGUGAAGGAAGAAGUACUUCGUUAUGUAAACUUCUCUCGACAGGGAAGAAAGAAAUGACGGUACCUGAAUAAGAAGCCCCGGCUAAUUACGUGCCAGCAGCCGCGGUAAUACGUAAGGGGCAAGCGUUAUCCGGAUUUACUGGGUGUAAAGGGUGAGUAGGCGGCGAUGCAAGUCAUAUGUGAAAUUCCGGGGCUUAACUCCGGAGCUGCAUAAGAAACUGCGUUGCUUGAGUGCAGGAGAGGCAAGCGGAAUUCCUAGUGUAGCGGUGAAAUGCGUAGAUAUUAGGAGGAACACCAGUGGCGAAGGCGGCUUACUGGACUGUAACUGACGUUGAGGCUCGAAAGCGUGGGGAGCAAACAGGAUUAGAUACCCCCGUAAA
rnacentral:rRNA from 1 species